AAAUAUUAACAUUAAAUAAAUACGAAAAUAAAAAUUAAAUAAAAUUAAAUAAUGCAUCAAGAAAUGUGGAAAAUAUUUUUGGGGAUUUUUAUGAAUAAAGAAAAUAUUUUAUAUCAAUUAAGAUCAAAACAGAAAAUAAAUGUGAAUUAAAAAAAAGAAAAUGAAAAGAGGUGGAUUAGUGUUGAUGGGCCAGGAAAGGGAGGGUGUGAAGAG
rnacentral:lncRNA from 1 species